rnacentral:lncRNA from 1 species
UACAACUCCCAUAAUUUAACAUUUGAAUGUUUUUAUAUUCAAUUGCUAGUUGAUUUUGCCAAACAAUGGAAAUAACAGUUAAAACCUUCUCAUACUAAUUACAGUCCAUUAGCACAACCUUUUAUAAUAUCACUUGCCAGAGUUAGUCUGUCCAAACUAGCCUCAUCGACAAUACCAAAUCUCAAAACAGUUUAUUCCAAACUAACAACACCGACGAGCACUGAAGAAAAGACAAAGAAUACAAUGAUUUACAGAACACAUCUUGCAUGCCAGAGAUGGAAUGUAAUGACCUAUACAUCAAAUGGCUAUUAGCGUUAGAAUUCAGAUCGACUUAAAAUCGUCGGAGCCCAUCGUAAGCCUACUAUACAUCAUAUUACACCUCAUGUAAUCUUAUACAUAAUCACACAAGUAUAUAAAAUAUUUCCAUUUCAUUAACAAAAACUUGACAUGUGCAUACAUCAUGACUAAAAAACAUAAAACUCAUGCUAGAGUCCUCAUCAAAUACUUUAGUAUGGUCAAUAUUACAUGCCUAAAGUUUGGUUCAAACAUAACUUAUAUUUUAAAAUUUUUACAUAAAAAGAUCAUAAAUAAAAGAUUAUAAAAGAAAAUUCAGGCAAAAUACAAUUCUAAUCCAUAAUAUGAAAUUACAUGUCCACAGCUAUACAAUUACAACAGAACUAUACUAAAUAACUCUGCUGACCUCCCGAGUUAACUCCGGUUUUGCAAACCUGAGAUUAGGAGAAAGGGAUAAAUUGCCAGAGCAUAGUGAGGAGAAACAUAAACAAAAGCAAUUCAAUAAAAUAUAUGAUCGUAUAGAUGCGUCACAACACAGACAAUUCACAUCAAGAUGGACUUAUCACUAGUAACCCUCUAUAAAUUCCAAUAGUUUCCGGCCCACAACAAGUAUUACUCAUGACUUCCUCUUAAAUAUAACAUAACAUAUCUAUAAUACCAGGGGCAUAAAAUUAGUCUCGACCUGAACUUCCGUAUCCAUCAUAAUAUAUCAUAACAUGCUUGAGGAUUGGUGGGUCGUCCAAUAUUCAUCCAUAAUAACAACAAAUUAUGCAAUACAUCAUAUUCGUAAAUUUUAAUACAAAACAACCUAAUCAUAUAUACAUGGAAUUCGUUAUGCAUGAACAUGCUUAAAACGUUUUAUUUUUUUAAAGUAGUAGUUCAGUUUAAUUCUACUAAUUUCUGGCUUACGUGUGCCUAACUCUAAAACAGUUAUCUCACUGCAAGUUUCUACAGUCUCCCAAGUUCGAUCCUACACAGAUGGACUUAAAUGAGGGACCAAACAUAACUUUUACAACUCCAAAAACUAUCUAAGAGGCCCCUAAAAAUAUAUAAGAAAACAUGUAAAAAAUAAGCUGAAAAAGACUAAACAGGGACUUUCGGCGGCAGGUUCAGUGGCUUAAUGUAACGACCCGGAAACCGGACCGCUACCGGCGCUAGGAUUUAGAUUGACUUAAGGUCGCCGGAAUCCGUAGCAAGCCUACUAUACAUCCUGUGUACCUGAUAAAAUCCCAUACAUGAUCAUACAUUUUCAUAAAAAUUUUAAACUUUUCAUAUACCAAGCUUGACCUGUACAUUCCUCAUGAACUGUAAACAUAAAACCCACACUAGAGCCCUCAUCAAAUGCUCUAGUAUGGUCAACAUCAUAUACAUCAAGUUUGGAUUAACAUAACUCAUCAUUUAACUUUUACAUAAUAAUCAUGUUCAAAGGGAUUUACAGAAACAUAAACUAGGGCAAAGCACAAAUCUAUCCAUUACAUAUUACAUGUCCACUACUAAUCUAUUACAUAAGCUUAUACCAACCUCUAGCCGACUUCCCGCUCUAUCUCUGAUCCUGCAAACUUGGGGUUAGGGGAAAGGGAUAAGCUACAAGAGCCUAGUGAGCAGAACCAUAAAAACAAUUUAAUAAAUAUAUGCUCUCAUGAAAUGUAUCACAACACAAACAAUACACAUCAAGGAUGGACUUGUCGCCAGUAACCCUCUACAUAUCCAAUGUGCCUGGCCCUCGACUGAGCUCCUCAGGACUUUCGCUUAAACAUAACAUAGCAUAUCCAACUGUGCCAGGGGCGUAGAAUGGGCAAGCCCUGGUCUUUUCCUUACAUCGUGUCAGGGGAGUAGAAUGGGCAAGCCCUGGACUUCCAUAUCAUGUCAUAUCAUAUCGUAUCGUAUCAUAUCGAGGGCUAGUGGGUCAUCCAAUAUCCAUCCACAACAACAGUAAAUUAUGCAAUGCAUCAUAUUCGUGAAUUCUAAUGCAACAACUAUUACAUAACAUGGUAUUCAUGAUGCAUGAACAUACUUAAAAUUUAGUUACUUAAAAACAUAGUUCAAUUCUACUCACCUCUGGCUGACGCUUGACUGACACUGAAGCAGCUGACUCACUGCUGGUCUCUUCGGUCUCUCAGGUCCGAUCCUACAUUGAUGGACUCAAGUGAGGGACCAAACAUAACUCUAGCAAGACUCUAAACAUCUCCCCAAAAACCCCCUAAAAUAUCAUAAAACAUGCAUACAAAACAAGCGAAGGAAGGCUGGGCAGGGGACUUUCGGCGGCAGGUCAGCGGCCGAAGGUCCCUACAGAUCCGAAAGUCAGGCACUUUCGGGGGCAAGGUUCGGCGGCCGAAAGUCCCUUCUAGAUCCGAAAGUCCAUGCUUUCGGGGGCAGUUUAGGCGGCCAAAGGCUGCCUCCGGUGGCAGGUUCGGCGGCCGAACCUUGCUUCGGCGGCCGAACCUUGCUUCGGCGGCCGAACCUGGGUUCUCCAGAAUGGCAGAACCCGAUAUUGCCCUAAGCAUUUCAGCCUCCAAAACUUCUCAAACUCUCACAUCUUUUCCUCAAAACAUGCAUAAGGGGUAUAAAAACUAGUCUAAACCCCAACAAACAAUUACAAAACAUAAGAGGGAGCAUACAUUCAUUAAAGACCCAACUCAAACCCUAUAGCUCUAUAUUUAACCUCAACAUGCAUCUUUUCCCUUUAAACCUUCAUAAAACUCAAUUCAAAACAGAAGAGAGGCAAGGAUCUAGGCUUACCUCUUGGAGAUCUAGGAGUGACAGCAACCCCAACGUGGAGAUGAGUCAAACGGUCUCCAAGGCUUCAAAAACUCGGGUUUAAGCUUAGAUCUUCAAAGACAAGAGAAAACUCGUAAAAACAUUGAAGGAUUUGAAAGAAAAUCAAAAAAUCAACAAAGGGAGGGCAAGAACUCACCUUUGCCCGAAAAUGGGAAGAAAAACUCUCCCGUUUUUGGACUGGGGGCCUCUUAUAGGUGGCUGGCCAGACCACCUUCGGGGGCCGAAAGAGCUUCCGCGGCAGCACCAUGUUCGGCGGCCGAACCUGGGCUUAUCCCUCAAAAACAUUUUUCUUCUUUUAAAAACUUUAAUCCAAAAACUUAGCAUUAAAACCAUAAAAAGCAUUUUGUAAAAAUAUAUUUUACCCUUCUAGAGGUCCCAGCAUUCGAGAUUCCGGAUUCCAAUAGAGAUUCCGUCGGAAGAUUGGAAUUCCGACACCAAAGUCUAGCCGAGUAUUACACUUAAAGUCCCCUUAUAGAAUCGAAGGUCAAAUUUUCGAAGGCAUGUUAGAUGGCCAAAAGGCAGCCUUCACAGAUAGACAUAACAUUUCCUGUGAAUUCGAUGAUGAUGUGGCUGACUACUUGAUAAGGGGCAUCACCAGUUAAGCCGAACCUGGAUUCUUCUGCAAUGCAAAACCCGAUUCUGCCUCAGUCCAUAGCCACCAAAACGUGAUAAAACCCACAUGCAACAGCUCAUAAACAACUAUACACAAAAGGAACACCUAAACUUCAUCAGCAUCAACAACACAAGAAGUAUUAUCCAUUAUAAGAAAACUAGAAACUUAAGCUCCAACACAUAUAAAAGAUCUUGCUUGCAUCACCAACCAUAGAAACAACUAAUGCCUCUUUUAAAAUCCCAACAACAGAAGAGAGGCAAUGAUUAAACUUAUCCCUAGGAAGAAGUACCAACACAGCAAUAAGGAGAAAUUCGGAAAGGAAGAAGAAAUGAGCUCUGAAGAUCUCAAAAGUUAAAACUUUGAAACACUGAGCUUGAUUUCUUCAAAACAAAAGGUAAAACUCAUGAGAAAACUGUGAAAAAAAAAAGAAUUUGUAAAAAAGAAGAGCAGAAGACUUACCUCUACUCGAAAUGGAGUAAAAAUUUUCUCCUUUUUGGGCAGAGCCCCUUUUAUAGGUGACUGGAAAAACCACAUUCAGCGGUCUAGCUUGAAGGUUUGGUGGCUGAAUCUUAAAAAUUUUCUAAAACUGUUUUUUUUUUUUUUAAAUACAUCAUAAAAUGCUUCAAACUCAUUUUAUAAAAAAUUCAUUUUACCCUUCUAAAGUUUUCGAUUCCAAGAUUCCAGAUUUCAAUGGAAAUUCCAUCGAGAAGUUAGAAUUCCGACAUCGGAGUUUAGCCGGGUAUUCCAUGAAACAUCCCAACAGCAAAACAACCACAAAUCAUAAACCGAACUCAAAAGUAAGGCUUAAGAAAGGAAGGAAUCAAUGACAAAUUACGAAAUAAACUCACCCUGACGUUGCUGAGCACAACCACCCGAAUGAAAAUAGAGGCAAGGAGAGAUGUCAUGGCUUUUCCGGUCUAUAUAGUCCUAGAGUAACCAUUCAGAGGGCCUCCGGUGUUGAUAAUCCAUCAAACCAAACCACCCAAACUUCAAUCGACUAAAGAAGACUGGAGAGAAAGACCGUAUCCAUGCAACCAGAGAAACUUCAUACCAGAUCCAAAAUUUUCACAUAAAAACUUAAACAACCAUAAGAUCGAAAGAAAAUUUGACCAAAACAAAACAACAUGACUUGUACAAUCCCUGCCCAUAAGGGCAAGAACCCAAAAUCAUAAACCCAAAUAAUAUCCCGUUCUGUUCUCUCUCUAGAACUCCUUUUUUCUUAUUUUAGAGUUUAGAACCAACUAACCAAAUUGUAAUCUGAUUCUAAUAUGUUAGCUUUUAUUUUUUUUUUAAAAAAGUCAUAUAAUAUCAAUUAUGACAUAAAUGUACAGUAAACAGACAUAUUGGGUACAAUGAUAACCGAAAUCGUGCCGCUGCGUCUGGUGAUUACUGCUUCCUUCGGCUAUAUCG